GUAGGUGGCAAGCGUUGUCCGGAAUUAUUGGGCGUAAAGCGCGCGCAGGUGGUUUCUUAAGUCUGAUGUGAAAGCCCACGGCUCAACCGUGGAGGGUCAUUGGAAACUGGGGAACUUGAGUGCAGAAGAGGAAAGUGGAAUUCCACGUGUAGCGGUGAAAUGCGUAGAGAUGUGGAGGAACACCAGUGGCGAAGGCGACUUUCUGGUCUGUAACUGACACUGAGGCGCGAAAGCGUGGGGAGCAAACAGGGAUUAGAUACCCUGGUAGUCCACGCCGUAAACGAUGAGUGCUAAGUGUUAGGGGGUUUCCGCCCCCUUAGUGCUGCAGCUAACGCAUUAAGCACUCCGCCUGGGGAGUACGGCCGCAAGGCUG
rnacentral:rRNA from 1 species